GAAGAUGAACGAAGGUCUUACGGGUGUAGAACGACACGAGGUCAUGGCCUCCUCUUCCCCAUCCUCUGAGAGAGAUAGACAGAGCAAAAGAGGUACAGGAAAUUUGAUGGAAAGGAACAAAACAAAAUGACGGAGAUUCAGAACCAUGGGAGCAGCUGAGUUUGGGUCAGCUUCCCUUGGCAACAGAACUAUCUGCCCUGGGAAUCACUGCGGGCCCAUGUAGGACCUCCACUGGAGCAAAAUCCCAGCAGAGAAUCUCUCAAGAACAGCAUCUGAUGGCAAGUAAACUGCAAUGUCUGUCUCUCACCAUUCAAGGUGAAUCUUGAGUUGUUUAUGCAUUGAAUUAAAAUCAGAUUAACAAACUCAACAUGUUGUUUACUUAAUGAAUAAGCUUUUUGUCCAAAGUAUGUAAGGUAAGAUCUUUUUUAUAAAAUCCAAAAGGUUUUAAUUAUAUUUUGCUAUGUAUAUAAAGGUAUUUUAAAGAUUUUGAAGUGUCAAAAGGUCAUUCAGUUUAAC